GGAUUCGAUCAUACCAGCACUAAAGCACCGGAUCCCAUCAGAACUCCGAAGUUAAGCGUGCUUGGGCGAGAGUAGUACUAGGAUGGGUGACCUCCUGGGAAGUCCUCGUGUUGCAUUCCC
rnacentral:rRNA from 1 species